rnacentral:lncRNA from 1 species
UGAAAUCUGGAAAUCUUAUUUGGAAGUUUGAGUGACCUAGAUGUUGAAACAUGGGGCACGCCUGGGGCACGCUUUUAUCCAACGAUCUCUUGUGCGGGUGUCGUUAGAUAUCUUCAUUCACUGGCAGGUUGUGAUAUGAAGCCUUUUGACAAAGGAUCCCCACAGAGUCCAACCAUGGGGCAAAGGAUAGACGAACAAUGAGAGGACGGUGAAGGAUUACGACGACGAUCCUGGAAAGUUAAUCAAGAAGACUCUUCAAAGUCUGAUGAUUGGAAAAUUUGUAUAAAUCCCAUGAGUUCGAUCUCCGUGGAGUACGGAUGAGUUGGGAAUACAAGAUGAUGGAG